GGCAGCUUGGCCGAGUGGUUAAGGCGUUACGUUUAGGCCGUAAUGGGAAACCGCGUGAGUUCGAACCUCACAGCUGUCA
rnacentral:tRNA from 3 species